CCGGGCGUGGCUGCUGUUUGGUUUCUGACCGAUCGCACGUGGUUGUGGAACAAAAAACACCCCACGUGUGCGACCGGAGCUGGUGAUCCGUUAGUUAGUGGUCGUCAUUUCCAUCCCGAGCUGCAUGGGACGUCUGCUCUCUGGGUGCCUUCCUGUAAAACGUGGGAAAACUCCAGCUAAAGAAGGACUAUUUUCCACCCGUGUCCCCACCUCAACUCAAAUGAACUGACUACACAAGGACAGUAACAUGUUUCCGGGGUGCUGACGUUGAUAUGUGGCAGGAAAAAAGCGAACAUUUUUCCCCACAGAGCGCUCGCCGCCCAGAACAAAGUCGAAACUGUUUCCCCCUUGGAGGCGGCCCUUGAGUGAGAGUCUCCUGACAUCUCCUCUGGGGGCUUUCAGCAAAAAAUAAGUCGUACAAGCAGGAGCCUCUGAAGGGAAGUGAAUUUACAAAAAAAAGUAAGGGACACACAGAAAGGACAGUAAUGAGAGAGUGAUUGCUGUUUUCUCUGUUGAUUGCUGGGGAUGCCAUCACUCCAUAUGUUGUGUAUGAUGGGAGAGUCAAAUUAAAAAUGUAGGCUAGUGAUCAGAAGACACUGUAACACUGGGAGUUAAAUCCCUCCGGUGCUAAAAGCGAACAUUUUGGUCCCUGAAAGUGAGCCCCCCCCCCCUCCCUGUGUUAUGACAUGUAGGUAAAGUGUUGAUUAGCAUAUCGCACUUAGGUUGACAACGUGUGCUCCAUUACAGAAAACUGCAACUCGGGACAUCUUAUGUCAGCAUCUGCAUAUUCCUAGACCUAACAACAAAUUAUUUUACCAGAACUACCUGUACCGUGACAAUACACAAAAAAAGCUGUGCUGAACCUUUGCUUGGAUAUUUGGAUUGUAUGUCCCUUUUUGCUCUCUUUUUAGCAGUCAGAAAGAAUGGCUUGGAAAGAAAUAACUCCAAAUGUACAUGCAGUUUAUGGUACCUACUACUAUAGCUUAACCUGUACAUAAAUAAAACAUGCGGGGCAUUUAAUGGCCUGAUCUAAUUGGUCUAUUCUGUUUUUUUUGGUCUUUGUAUAAGUUUGCCUUAGUUGUCUGUUUUAUUUUGGAAAGGGGAGGGGGGUCUUGUGUAUCUUCACCAUUUGGCUGUCCCAUGCUUUGUUAUAU